rnacentral:rRNA from 1 species
CCAAUAGCGUAUAUUAAAGUUGUUGCAGUUAAAAAGCUCGUAGUUGAAUUUCGGGAUCAACAUGCCGGUCGUGCCUCCGGUACGUACUGGUAUCGUUGGUUUCUACCUUCUGACGAAUCACGAUGUCAUUAAUUUGGUGUCGUGGGGAAUCAGGACUGUUACUUUGAAAAAAUUAGAGUGUUUAAAGCAGGCACACGCUUGAAUACAUUAGCAUGGAAUAAUGAAAUAGGACGUUUGACCCUAUUUUGUUGGUUUCUAGGAUCGACGUAAUGAUUAAUAGGGAUAGUUGGGGGCAUUAGUAUUCAAUUGUCAGAGGUGAAAUUCUUGGAUUUAUUGAAGACUAACUACUGCGAAAGCAUUUGCCAAGGAUGUUUUCAUUAAUCAAGAACGAAAGUUAGGGGAUCGAAGACGAUCAGAUACCGUCGUAGUCUUAACCAUAAACUAUGCCGACUAGGGAUCGGAUGAUGUUAAUUUUUUAAUGACUCAUUCGGCGCCUUACG